rfam:Oryza sativa (indica cultivar-group) chromosome 12, whole genome shotgun sequence.
UUUUAGUGUAGUUACAGGUUUCUAUAUCUAACGUUUGAUCUUCUGUCUUAUUCGAAACAUUUGUAUGAUUAAUAAUUUUAUUAUUAUUAGAUAAAAAACAUAAAUAGUAUUUUAUGUGUGACUUCUUUAAAAAAUUCAUAGAUUUUUUAAACAAGAUAGACGAUUAAAUGUUGGACACGAAGAACUACAAUUGCACUUAAA